GACGAACGCUGGCGGCGUGCUUAACACAUGCCAGUCGAACGGAAAGGCCCUGCUUUUGUGGGGUGCUCGAGUGGCGAACGGGUGAGUAACACGUGAGUAACCUGCCCUUGACUUUGGGAUAACUUCAGGAAACUGGGGCUAAUACCGGAUAGGAGCUCCUGCUGCAUGGUGGGGGUUGGAAAGUUUCGGCGGUUGGGGAUGGACUCGCGGCUUAUCAGCUUGUUGGUGGGGUAGUGGCUUACCAAGGCUUUGACGGGUAGCCGGCCUGAGAGGGUGACCGGCCACAUUGGGACUGAGAGACGGCCCAGACUCCUACGGGAGGCAACAGUGGGGAAUAUUGCACAAUGGGCGGAAGCCUGAUGCAGCAACGCCGCGUGCGGGAUGACGGCCUUCGGGUUGUAAACCGCUUUCGCCUGUGACGAAGCGUGAGUGACGGUAAUGGGUAAAGAAGCACCGGCUAACUACGUG
rnacentral:rRNA from 1 species